GGCCAGACUCCUACGGGAGGCAGCAGUGAGGAAUAUUGGUCAAUGGCCGAGAGGCUGAACCAGCCAAGUCGCGUGAGGGAAGACGGCCCUACGGGUUGUAAACCUCUUUUGUCGGGGAGCAAAGCGAGUCACGUGUGACUCAUUGAGAGUACCCGAAGAAAAAGCAUCGGCUAACUCCGUGCCAGCAGCCGCGGUAAUACGGAGGAUGCGAGCGUUAUCCGGAUUUAUUGGGUUUAAAGGGUGCGCAGGCGGAGGUGCAAGUCAGCGGUCAAAUUGCGGGGCUCAACCCCGUACUGCCGUUGAAACUGCCUCCCUUGAGUGCGCGAGAAGUAUGCGGAAUGCGUGGUGUAGCGGUGAAAUGCAUAGAUAUCACGCAGAACUCCGAUUGCGAAGGCAGCAUGCCGGCGCGCAACUGACGCUCAUGCACGAAAGCGUGGGUAUCGAACAGGAUUAGAUACCCCCGUAAAG
rnacentral:rRNA from 1 species